UACAGGGGGUGCAAACGUUGCUCGGAAUCAUUGGGCGUAAAGCGCGCGCAGGCGGUCCUUUAAGUCUGAUGUGAAAGCCCACGGCUCAACCGUGGAGGGUCAUUGGAAACUGGGGGACUUGAGUGCAGAAGAGGAAAGCGGAAUUCCACGUGUAGCGGUGAAAUGCGUAGAGAUGUGGAGGAACACCAGUGGCGAAGGCGGCUUUCUGGUCUGUAACUGACGCUGAGACGCGAAAGCGUGGGGAGCGAACAGG
rnacentral:rRNA from 1 species